AACGAACGCUGGCGGCAUGCCUAACACAUGCAAGUCGAACGAGACCUUCGGGUCUAGUGGCGCACGGGUGCGUAACGCGUGGGAACCUGCCCUUAGGUUCGGAAUAACUCCCCGAAAGGGGUGCUAAUACCGGAUAAUGUCUUCGGACCAAAGAUUUAUCGCCUUUGGAUGGGCCCGCGUUGGAUUAGCUAGUUGGUAGGGUAAAAGCCUACCAAGGCGACGAUCCAUAGCUGGUCUGAGAGGAUGAUCAGCCACACUGGGACUGAGACACGGCCCAGAAUCCGACGGAAGGCAGCAGUGGAGAAUAUUGGACAAGGGGCGAAAGCCUGAUCCAGCAAUGCCGCGGGAGUGAUGAAGGCCUUAGGGUUGUAAAGCUCUUUUAGCCGGGAUGAUAAUGACAGUACCGGGAGAAUAAGCUCCGGCUAACUCCGUG
rnacentral:rRNA from 1 species